GAUGAACGCUGGCGGCGUGCCUAAUACAUGCAAGUCGAGCGAACAGACGAGGAGCUUGCUCCUCUGACGUUAGCGGCGGACGGGUGAGUAACACGUGGAUAACCUACCUAUAAGACUGGGAUAACUUCGGGAAACCGGAGCUAAUACCGGAUAAUAUAUUGAACCGCAUGGUUCAAUAGUGAAAGACGGUUUUGCUGUCACUUAUAGAUGUAUCCGCGCCGCAUUAGCUAGUUGGUAAGGUAACGGCUUACCAAGGCAACGAUGCGUAGCCGACCUGAGAGGGUGAUCGGCCACACUGGAACUGAGACACGGUCCAGACUCCUACGGGAGGCCGCAGUACGGAAUCUUACGCAAUGGGCGAGAGCUUAACGGAGCAAAGCCGCGUAAGGGAUGAAGGUCUUCGGAUCGUAAAACUAUGUUAUUAGGGAAGAAGAAAUGUGCAAGUAACUAUGCACGUCUUGACGGUACCUAAUGAAUAAGCAACGGCUAACUACGUG
rnacentral:rRNA from 1 species